rnacentral:rRNA from 1 species
GACAGAGGGUGCAAGCGUUAAUCGGAAUUACUGGGCGUAAAGCGUGCGUAGACGGUUGCGUAAGUCAGAUGUGAAAGCCCCGGGCUCAACCUGGGAAUUGCAUUUGAGACUGCGUAGCUAGGGUGCGGAAGAGGGAAGCGGAAUUUCCGGUGUAGCGGUGAAAUGCGUAGAUAUCGGAAGGAACACCAGUGGCGAAAGCGGCUUCCUGGUCCAGCACCGACGUUCAGGCACGAAAGCGUGGGGAGCAAACAGG